ensembl:lncRNA
GCUUCCGUGAGGGUCUGAGGUGAGCCCUUCUGUAUGGGAGGGUUGCAAUCUCCUCCUUUAUUGGGGGAUCCUGGCCACAUUUUGAGGCUGGCAACCAUCUGUACCUGAAAACUGCUUCUUUGGGAGUGUGGUUUGCAACUCGAUGGGGUUUAAAGAUUGUUGGCGCUCCUCUAAUCGGUGGUGUGAGGCCUGUGGAGCUGGUGGCAGCAGAAAGCUGUGGUGCUCCCGAGUGCUGUAAUGACUGCACGGCGAGAUGUGCGGGUCUUCAUGGGAACAGCAAGGAACUGAAAGCUGCAUUUCCUGGGAUGCCCUGGAACCCCACUUUGCUGACUGGUAACUGUCUGCCCGGCAGGUCUUCAAUGACGAUAUUGGACAGAACAGGCCUGAAGAGCACUCAGGAUGGCAUACCAGCUGCAUUUAACACGAUUGAGCAGCACUCAUUAGGCCAGGCAGUUCAGCUAGUUCUUCAUCUAGCAAGCAAUGUACCCGUCCAAGUAGCCGGCUGCAAUCUUUCAGAGAAUUUUAAGGGAUAGCACAUCAAAGGGUUUGCCUCACUCAUGGGGUUGGGUCACCUUUGCUUUGAGUUUGCUACCGUGGCUGACCCUAAUCCUGUAACUGACAUCCUGUAGCUGGACAGAGACCAUUCACACUCCAUCCAGGCUGUUUGAGACUCACAGCCAUGCUGAGAGUCACACUGAUUUCAGCGUGUGCAGUCAUUUUGCAUCAACCCAAUUGGCUUUAGCUUUACAAAUAAUUUGAUCUCAACCAAAUUGGCUUUAGCUUUGCAGUUAAUGCAUUGCAAAUAAGUUGGCUUUAGCUUUGCCUUGCUUACGGGGUUGGGUUAGCUUUGCUUUGUUUGUUUGUAC